GAAAUUCAAAGUCAAACAUCUUUUAUCCAUCCAUUCAUCUCCAUGAUAACCACCGAAACAUAAUAAUCAAUCAAUGUCCAUCACCCCCCUCUGGAUACAAAUGAAGAUCAAUUCCUUACUGGAUAAUAAUAAUCAAGCUAAAUCAAGUAAAAGGAACAUUUAAAAAAUGUAGCGGCAAUACGAACAUUACGAACGAAAAAAAG